UUGACGGGACCGCACAAGCGGUGGAGUAUGUGGUUUAAUUCGAUGCAACGCGAAGAACCUUACCUGGUCUUGACAUCCCGGAGACCCUUAGGAAACUAGGGGGUGCUUCCAUCUGGAAGAAUCUGGAGACAGGUGCUGCAUGGCUGUCGUCAGCUCGUGUCGUGAGAUGUUGGGUUAAGUCCCGCAACGAGCGCAACCCUUGCCUUUAGUUGCCAGCAGUUCGGCUGGGCACUCUAAAGGGACUGCCGGUGUUAAACCGGAGGAAGGUGGGGAUGACGUCAAGUCCUCAUGGCCUUUAUGACCAGGGCUACACACGUACUACAAUGGCCGAUACAAAGGGCAGCGACACUGCGAGGUGAAGCCAAUCCCGUAAAAUCGGUCUCAGUCCGGAUUGGAGUCUGCAACUCGACUCCAUGAAGUUGGAAUCGCUAGUAAUCGUGGAUCAGCAUGCCACGGUGAAUACGUUCCCGGGCCUU
rnacentral:rRNA from 1 species